rnacentral:rRNA from 1 species
UACGUAGGGUGCGAGCGUUGUCCGGAAUUAUUGGUCGUAAAGGGCUCGUAGGCGGUCUGUCGCGUCAGGAGUGAAAACUCGGGGCUUAACCCCGAGCCUGCUUCUGAUACGGGCAGACUAGAGGUAUGCAGGGGAGACUGGAAUUCCUGGUGUAGCGGUGAAAUGCGCAGAUAUCAGGAGGAACACCGGUGGCGAAGGCGGGUCUCUGGGCAGUAACUGACGCUGAGGAGCGAAAGCGUGGGGAGCGAACAGG